CUCAUUUCCCCUAAUCUUCUGAUAGACUGCUGCUGUUGACAUGUAAUCUCCAUGGACAAACAUCUUGAUAUUAGCCACAACUGGAUCCAGCAGUAAAUGUGGGCCAUUUGUGUUCUGACA